CAAAAUUAUAAUUUUAAAAAUUAAUUUUUGAAUGCACGAUUUUGAUCAAACAUUUUUGAAUUAAACGGUCCAGAUUAACUAAGCUUUUAAGCGUAAGAAGAUCAAAGUUCGCCCAGUCUAUUUUUUGCCAACUUAGCAUUUAUUAUGCAUAUUGACCAUGGAAGAGAACUGCUCAAUUUUUCCAUGCCAGCUCACCCACUAAUUUUAUUAAGUCCCAUUUUAAAUGUCACUUGCACACACACACAGUUUUACAUGCAUGCAUUAAUUAUGUAUUUAAG
rnacentral:lncRNA from 1 species